AACUCCUUUCCAAACUAAAUCAACACGAAGUUGGUCCAAUAAAGUCUUCAAUUACAUCUCAGCACUUACUCUAACUCGAACUUUCGACCCAAUCUUCAAUACCCACCAAGCAUCUUUCUCCUCCUCCUCAUCAUUUUCCUCUUCACCUUCUGAUUCUUCAAUUUUGGGGGUCUUGAUGAAGGAAUAUGAAGUGACCUUAUCGGAUACAAUCCAUUUGGAAUUGGGUGUGUUUCCGCCAACGUAAAGAUAGAGCUUCACGACGGACGGAUUUGAGAUGGGUAUUUGAGAUUAAGGGCUUUAAGCUUGGCUUCUAUUUCGGCCGACAGGGAGAGGCAGAGCUACGAAACGGCGAGAUAGACAGACGACGAAGGCCGGAGAUUGAGACGGGAAGAGGCCGGGGAGUCGAGAGGCAAGAAGAGGCUGAGGAAUCGGGAAUGGAAGGGGGCAAGGGGCUAGGGCAAAAUGC
rnacentral:lncRNA from 1 species